UAUGACCUGGCGGCAUCCUUACGCUUACAAGUCGAACGGUAACAGGUCUUCGGAUGCUGACGAGUGGCGAACGGUAAUACAUCGGAACGUGCCCGAUCGUGGGGGAUAACGGAGCGAAAGCUUUGCUAAUACCGCAUACGAUCUACGGAUGAAAGCAGGUGACCGCAAGGCCUUGCGCGGACGGAGCGGCCGAUGGCAGAUUAGGUAGUUGGUGGGAUAAAAGCUUACCAAGCCGACGAUCUGUAGCUGGUCUGAGAGGACGACCAGCCACACUGGGACUGAGACACGGCCCAGCCUCCUACGGGAGGCAGCAGUGGGGAAUUUUGGACAUGGGCGAAGCUGAUCCACCAUGCGCGUCAGGAUAAAAGCCUAGAGUUGUAAC
rnacentral:rRNA from 1 species